rnacentral:rRNA from 1 species
GACGAACGCUGGCGGCGUGCUUAACACAUGCAAGUCGAACGGAAAGGCCCUGCUUUUGUGGGGUGCUCGAGUGGCGAACGGGUGAGUAACACGUGAGUAACCUGCCCUUGACUUUGGGAUAACUUCAGGAAACUGGGGCUAAUACCGGAUAGGAGCUCCUGCUCCAUGGUGGGGGUUGGAAAGUUUGGGCGGUUGGGGAUGGACUCGCGGCUUAUCAGCUUGUUGUUGGGGUAGUGGCUUACCAAGGCUUUGACGGGUAGCCGGCCUGAGAGGGUGACCGGCCACAUGGGGACUGAGAUACGGCCCAGACUCCUACGGGAGGCAGCAGUGGGGAAUAUUGCACAAUGGGCGGAAGCCUGAUGCAGCAACGCCGCGUGCGGGAUGACGGCCUUCGGGUUGUAAACCGAUUUCGCCUGUGACGAAGCGUGAGUGACGGUAAUGGGUAAAGAAGCACCGGCUAACUACGUG